CCUACGGGAGGCAGCAGUGGGGAAUAUUGGACAAUGGGCGAAAGCCUGAUCCAGCCAUGCCGCGUGUGUGAAGAAGGUCUUCGGAUUGUAAAGCACUUUAAGUUGGGAGGAAGGGCAUUAACCUAGUACGUUAGUGUUUUGGCGUUACCGACAGAAUAAGCACCGGCUAACUCUGUGCCAGCAGCCGCGGUAAU
rnacentral:rRNA from 1 species